rnacentral:rRNA from 1 species
UACGAAGGCUCCAAGCGUUAUCCGGAUUUAUUGGGCGUAAAGCGUGCGUAGGGGGUCCCGUGCGUCUAUUGUUAAAUCUCACCGCCUAACGGUGAGGCCGCAAUGGAUACGGCGGGACUAGAGGGUGCGAGAGGUGACUGGAACAUACGGUGUAGGGGUGAAAUCCGUUGAUAUCGUAUGGAACACCAAAGGCGAAAGCAUGUCACUGGAGCAUUCCUGACCCUCAGUGCACGAAAGCGUGGGGAGCAAAAAGG